GAAAAAAAGAAGAAAGAAAGAAAAACCUAUCGACGAAGGCAAAUAUAACAUGUUACUUUGGGAUGGAUAUGAUCUAUCAUCCAUUAGUUUAUUAUUCCAGUCAUCACUUUAAAAACACGCUUUCCGGCCCACCACCGCCUAACUCCAACCAUGGCGGAUCCCAACAGGCCCGUCACCGGCUAUCCCGCUCCACCUGCUUCCAACGGCUACCCCGCUCCGCCUGCUUCCAACGGCUACCCCGCAUACCCUUACGCUGUGCAGCAGCAGCAGCAUCAACCCUCCUACUACUACUCCAACCCCCUUGCCAAUCAACAACGCGCCACCUUCCUCCGCCGCAUGUUUGCCCUCUUUAUCGGCUGCGUCAUCAUCAUCGGCACCAUCGCCUUCAUCAUCUGGCUUGUCCUCCGUCCCCAAGUCCCUCAAUUCACUCUCCAAACCCUAACCCUAACCAACUUCAACGUCACUUCCAACUCCAUGAUCUCCGGCAAUUGGGACGCCCGCUUCACCGUCCGUAACCCUAACUCCAAGAUCACUCUCUUCUACGAUCACGUCGAAGCCGCCGUUUUCUACAAGUCGGAAUCCAUUGCGGAGACUGCUGUGCCGCCGUUUGUGCAGGGGAAGAAGAACGAAACGGCGGUUAGGACUACGUUCGCUUCGUUGUCGGCGUAUGUAGAUGGUAUUAAUAGCGAGAGGGCUCAUGGAACCGUUGAGUUCAAUUUGAGGAUGGUGGCUAGGGUUAGGUUUAGGGCUGGUUCUUGGUGGGCUAGACGGAGGAUUUUGAGGAUUUAUUGCCCUGAUUUGUCGGUUCGGGUUUCGGCUAAUAGUUCAGCUGGAGAGAUGACUGGUGGCUCCAAGCACUGCAGGGUUGGUUUGUGAUUUGAGAUUGAUGAGCUGAAGGAAGGAAGGAAGGAAGGAAGGAAGGAAGGAAGGAAGGAAGGAAGGAAAGGGUUCAAUCAAACCGAUUUCCGAAAUACCCAAAGUUUGAGAUAAUAAAAGGAAGAAACAGAGAUAGAUUCAAUCAAACUGAUAUCCGAUAUACCCAAAUUUGAGAUAAUGGGUGUAAACGAUUUGUGUUUUUUUUUUGUAAGUAUCUGUUCAGUACAUCAUAGUGAGCCCGUCACUGAUUUUGUGUUUAUAGGUUAUGUCUCAAGUCAGUGGCUAUCCCUUGCGUGUUUUCCUUUGUGAACAUUGCGAGGGCCACCGUAGUGCUUCUAAACGGCCGGGCCACCAGUACCCUGCUAAGACAGACAGUGGUUUUCAGACAGAAACCAGUGUAAGCUAGAUUUAACUUGAAACCUUUGUUGGAGGAGAGCCACCUUGUUGCAGGUUCAUUUUCCUCGACUUACUUAGUAAGGCUUGUUCUUGAUAUUUAUGCUUACUUUUGACAUUUCAUGGCUGUGGUGAACUAAAAAUCUUAUAGUUAAUUCUAGCUGCUUUAUCUUUUGAGUAA